AGUGAACGCUGGCGGUAGGCCUAACACAUGCAAGUCGAACGGCAGCACAGUAAGAGCUUGCUCUUACGGGUGGCGAGUGGCGAACGGGUGAGGAAUACAUCGGAAUCUACUUUUUCGUGGGGGAUAACGUAGGGAAACUUACGCUAAUACCGCAUACGACCUACGGGUGAAAGCAGGGGAUCUUCGGACCUUGCGCGAUUGAAUGAGCCGAUGUCGGAUUAGCUAGUUGGCGGGGUAAAGGCCCACCAAGGCGACGAUCCGUAGCUGGUCUGAGAGGAUGAUCAGCCACACUGGAACUGAGACACGGUCCAGACUCCUACGGGAGGCAGCAGUGGGGAAUAUUGGACAAUGGGCGUAAGCCUGAUCCAGCCAUACCGCGUGGGUGAAGAAGGCCUUCGGGUUGUAAAGCCCUUUUGUUGGGAAAGAAAAGCAGCAGGUUAAUACCCCGCUGUUCUGACGGUACCCAAAGAAUAAGCACCGGCUAACUUCGUG
rnacentral:rRNA from 1 species